UUCUAGAUAGGAUCACACAAUCAUUUCUUUGACUUUUUUAGGUCUAAUCUUUCCAGUCUAUAAGAUAGGGUGUAGCCUAUUUUCAUGUGCAUCAAUUUCAUGCCCUCUUAGUUGCUUUUGGGAUUGUUCAUUCGUGGAGACAUAUGGGAGAUGUCAAGCUGACAGGCUUGUUAUGCCUGUUCCUGCUCAUGCCAGUUUUAGUUUCUGGUUCGGAAGCAGAGAUGAUAUGCGAGCGCUAUAGUGUGACCUAUUUUACUUUAGUAUGCAAGUAUGAUCUAUGUGUUCAUGCAUGCCGCAAGGAGCACAAGGAGAGCUUUCACAAAGCCUUUUGUUUCGUAUUCCCCAGACUUUGUAUGUGCCGAUGGAAGUGUUGAAUAAGAAACAUGUUCCAAGUAUCAUAGGGUGUGUGAUGUAACAAGCAAUAAUGUUUUGUAGUGCGAUGAAUUGACAAUGAGCAAUGGAAGGAGUUGAGGAUCUACCAAAUAUUCCUUA